rnacentral:rRNA from 1 species
UGUCUUUUGAGUACCUUCGUUUCCUCGGCGGGUUCGCCCUCCGAUUGGACAAUUUAAACCAUUUGCAGUUGCAAUCAGCGUCUGAAAAAACAUAAUAGUUACAACUUUCAACAACGGAUCUCUUGGUUCUGGCAUCGAUGAAGAACGCAGCGAAAUGCGAUAAGUAGUGUGAAUUGCAGAAUUCAGUGAAUCAUCGAAUCUUUGAACGCACAUUGCGCCCCUUGGUAUUCCAUGGGGCAUGCCUGUUCGAGCGUCAUUUGUACCUUCAAGCUCUGCUUGGUGUUGGGUGUUUGUCUCGCCUCUGCGCGUAGACUCGCCUCAAAACAAUUGGCAGCCGGCGUAUUGAUUUCGGAGCGCAGUACAUCUCGCGCUUUGCAUUCAGAACGACGACGUCCAAAAGUACAUUUUUACACUCUUGACCUCGGAUCAGGUAGGGAUACCCGCUGAACUUAAGCAUAUCAAUAAGCGGAG